AUUUAGCUCUCAAACUCUUCGCGUUAGGGAUAGUAGUGGAAAGGCCGGAGCGGAGCGAGGACUUGUAGCGGAUAGCCCGGCCGAAG
rnacentral:misc_RNA from 1 species